GUGAGUCAUCGAAUCUUUGAACGCACAUUGCGCCCUUUGGUAUUCCAAAGGGCAUGCCUGUUCGAGCGUCAUUUGUACCCUCAAGCUUUGCUUGGUGUUGGGCGUCUUGUCUCUAGCUUUGCUGGAGACUCGCCUUAAAGUAAUUGGCAGCCGGCCUACUGGUUUCGGAGCGCAGCACAAGUCGCACUCUCUAUCAGCAAAGGUCUAGCAUCCAUUAAGCCUUUUUUUCAACUUUUGACCUCGGAUCAGGUAGGGAUACCCGCUGAACUUAAGCAUAUCAAUAAGCGGAGGA
rnacentral:misc_RNA from 1 species